rnacentral:rRNA from 1 species
GACGAACGCUGGCGGCGUGCUUAACACAUGCAAGUCGAACGGAAAGGCCCUGCUUUUGUGGGGUGCUCGAGUGGCGAACGGGUGAGUAACACGUGAGUAACCUGCCCUUGACUUUGGGAUAACUUCAGGAAACUGGGGCUAUUACCGGAUAGGAGCUUCUGCUGCAUGGUGGGGGUUGGAAAGUGUCGGCGGUUGGGGAUGGACUCGCGGCUUAUCAGCUUGUUGGUGGGGUAGUGGCUUACCAAGGCUUUGACGGGUAGCCGGCCUGAGAGGGUGACCGGCCACAUUGGGACUGAGAUACGGACCAGACUCCUACGGGAGGCAGCAGUGGGGAAUAUUGCAGAAUGGGCGGAAGCCUGAUGCAGCAACGCCGCGUGCGGGAUGACGGCCUUCGGGUUGUGAACCGCUUUCGCCUGUGACGAAGCGUGAGUGACGGUAAUGGGUAAAGAAGCACCGGCUAACUACGUG